rnacentral:misc_RNA from 1 species
CGGACAUUGAAGCUUCAGUCUCUGUCCUCAACCACAGUUGCUUCUGAUACCUCACUCACUAAUUAAAACUGAAAGCAAUAGAGAACAAGUGAAAGGGGCAGAGAGAAUUUCGUGGUGUGCUUUGGAACCCUUCGUUGGCCGUCGAAGUUCUAGCUACUCUUUAUUCAUCGGCACCCUCAUCUGGCGCUCUUCCUCUUCAAAUCGAUAUUUUCCUCCUUUCUUCUAUUCAUUAAGCACUGUCAUCACCUCUACUG